AUUGAACGCUGGCGGCAGGCCUAACACAUGCAAGUCGAGCGGGGUUUUCGGACCUAGCGGCGGACGGGUGAGUAAUGCGUAGGAAGCUACCCGAUAGAGGGGGAUACCAGUUGGAAACGACUGUUAAUACCGCAUAAUGUCUACGGACCAAAGUGUGGGACCUUCGGGCCACAUGCUAUCGGAUGCGCCUACGUGGGAUUAGCUAGUUGGUGAGGUAAUGGCUCACCAAGGCGACGAUCCCUAGCUGGUUUGAGAGGAUGAUCAGCCACACCGGAACUGAGACACGGUCCAGACUCCUACGGGAGGCAGCAGUGGGGAAUAUUGGACAAUGGGCGCAAGCCUGAUCCAGCCAUGCCGCGUGGGUGAAGAAGGCCUUCGGGUUGUAAAGCCCUUUUGUCCGGGAAGAAAUCCCAUCGGUUAAUACCCGGUGGGGAUGACGGUACCGGGAGAAUAAGCACCGGCUAACUUCGUGCCAGCAGCCGCGGUAAUAC
rnacentral:rRNA from 1 species